CGUAAGGUGGAUGUAAAUGAUGGUUACAUUGGUGACGUUCCUCCUCACUGGAUCUCUGAUACAAGGUGUUUUGUGUGGCUUUAAUAUCAGUCUGCCGAAGAGAGUAGAAGCUCUGAAAGGAUCCUGUGUUUUCAUCCCCUGCACAUUUGAUAUUGAUCAACAAUAUGAAGAUGAC